AUUCAAAGAAGCCACAAUCUCUACUUUAUCAACCGAAGUAUUUGACACGUCUUCCUCAAUAGGAUGAGUUUCAGAAAUCAAAUCACAAGGAUCCAUAUUCACAGAAUUGUCCGAGUUUGCCAAGUUAUCACAAUUCAUAUAUGAACUGGACUCCUCAAAAUUUGCAACUGAUGGCACAGUUCCUGAGUGAUCCACUGACUUGGAGGCAAUUCUACAAUUAUCAUCACUCUCAACCUCAACGCAUAAGUUGUCCACUUUUGUAUUUUCUCCAUGCAGUGGUUCUUUUUCUCGAUCAACA
rnacentral:misc_RNA from 1 species